CCUACGGGAGGCUGCAGUAGGGAAUUUUGCACAAUGGGCGAAAGCCUGAUGGAGCAACGCCGCGUGCAGGAUGAAGGCCUUCGGGUUGUAAACUGCUUUUAUAAGCGAGAAAUAUGAUGGUAACUUAUGAAUAAGGAUCGGCUAACUACGUGCCAGCAGCCGCGGUCAUACGUAGGAUCCGAGCAUUAUCCGGAGUGACUGGGUGUAAAGAGUUGCGUAGGUGGCCUAAUAAGUAGCUAGUGAAAUCUGGAGGCUCAACCAUUCAGACUAUUAGCGAAACUGUUAAGCUCGAGACCGUUAGGGGCAUCUGGAAUUUCUAGUGUAGGAGUGAAAUCCGUAGAUAUUAGAAGGAACACCAAUUGCGUAGGCAGGAUGCUGGGACGGUUCUGACACUAAGGCACGAAAGCGUAGGGAGCAAACGGGAUUAGAUACCCCAGUAGUC
rnacentral:rRNA from 1 species